UACGUAGGGUGCAAGCGUUUGUCCGGAAUUAUUGGGCGUAAAGAGCUCGUAGGCGGUCUGUCGCGUCUGCUGUGAAAACUCGGGGCUUAACCCCGGGCCUGCAGUGGGUACGGGCAGACUAGAGUGCGGUAGGGGAGACUGGAAUUCCUGGUGUAGCGGUGAAAUGCGCAGAUAUCAGGAGGAACACCGAUGGCGAAGGCAGGUCUCUGGGCAUUAACUGACGCUGAGGAGCGAAAGCAUGGGGAGCGAACAGG
rnacentral:rRNA from 1 species